rnacentral:rRNA from 1 species
GCACUCCUACGGGAGGCAGCAGUGGGGAAUAUUGCACAAUGGGCGCAAGCCUGAUGCAGCCAUGCGCGUGUAUGAAGAAGGCCUUCGGGUUGUAAAGUACUUUCAGCAGUGAGGAAGGUGGAUAUGUUAAUAGCAUAUUCAUUUGACGUUAGCUGCAGAAGAAGCACCGGCUAACUCCGUGCCAGCAGCCGCGGUAAUACGGAGGGUGCGAGCGUUAAUCGGAAUUACUGGGCGUAAAGCGCAUGCAGGUGGUUUGUUAAGUCAGAUGUGAAAGCCCGGGGCUCAACCUCGGAAUUGCAUUUGAAACUGGCAAACUAGAGUACUGUAGAGGGGGUAGAAUUUCAGGUGUAGCGGUGAAAUGCGUAGAGAUCUGAAGGAAUACCGGUGGCGAAGGCGGCCCCCUGGACAGAUACUGACACUCAGAUGCGAAAGCGUGGGGAGCAAACAGGAUUAGAUACCCUGGUAG